UACGAAGGUGGCAAGCGUUGUUCGGAUUUACUGGGCGUACAGGGAGCGUAGGCGGUUGGGUAAGCCCUUCGUGAAAUCUCCGGGCCUAACCCGGAAAGUGCGGAGGGGACUGCUCGGCUAGAGGAUGGGAGAGGAGCGCGGAAUUCCCGGUGUAGCGGUGAAAUGACGUAGAGAUCGGGAGGAAGGCCGGUGGCGAAGGCGGCGCUCUGGAACAUUUCUGACGCUGAGGCUCGAAAGCGUGGGGAGCAACAGGG
rnacentral:rRNA from 1 species